UACGAGGGGUGCAAGCGUUAUUCGGAAUAACUGGGCGUAAAGGGUGCGUAGACGGUAUGUUAAGCUUGUUGUUAAAUUCCCUGGCUCAACCAGGGUCCUGCAGUGAGAACUGGCAUGCUAGAGGAUGAGAGAGAAGAGUGGAAUUUCCGGAGUAGCGGUAAAAUGCGUAGAUCUCGGAAGGAACACCGAUGGCGAAAGCAGCUCUUUGGCUCAUUCCUGACGUUGAGGCACGAAAGCGUGGGGAGCAAACAGG
rnacentral:rRNA from 1 species